CUGCUGUGUGCUGUGGACUGGAUGUGUGCCUCUUGGUGACACCUUGGCUGGCUGUAUGAAUUUCUGGUCACCCCUCUACUGGGCCAGCAGAACUGAAUUGUGAGGCCACUGGAAAACCGGACUUAGGCAUGUGUGAGGAAGAUAUUUGCAAACUGGACUCCUGAACUGGGCACCUGGCUGUGAGCUUUGGGCCAUGGCUGCAGUGCCGUGACCACUGUUGAGGAGUACAACUGAUCAACGUGAGAUGGAGUGAUGCAAUAAAGAAGGCAGCGCUAUUCCAAAUGGUUUUAAAAGACCCAAGCAUCUCACGGUGUCUUAUGUUAAUCAGCAUAGAGUUGGGCAUGUGCAUAGUCUUUGUUUUCCCAAGAGAGAAAAUACACCCACUGCAAUCUCCGAGAUUCAGGGAGUUCCCAGGAUCCCAGGAGCUCCGAAAUGCUGACAGCUAGAAGUGACAAGUCCAGAAUUAACUUCCUGAUCUCAUUGGUGAGACAGAAGUUCUGGACUUUGCUGUAAUUGGAGCCACACCACACGGAAUCUUUUGUGGUUUGCUUUCUUAUUUAAUAUCAAAUGUGUGAGCUUUGUUCAUGGUGAUGAAUGAAUGGAAAGGAGCAUAGUUCAUCUGUCUUUGCUGCCUUAUAACAUUCUGCUAAACAGAGAUGGGACUCUGUACCCAUUAAUCUGUCAUUAGAUUAUGUUCAAAUUUUUGCUGUUACAAAAUGGUCUAAUAAAUAUUCUCAAACUUGUCUCCUGAUGCA
rnacentral:lncRNA from 1 species